rnacentral:lncRNA from 1 species
UCUAAUAGAAUAUUAAUAAUGCUAAACAAGCUUUAAUCAAAUUCAGAGAAACCUCAAAGGAAUUAUAAAGAAAUAAUAAGAAAUCUUAAAGAAAUAUUAGAAUGAUUACAAAUAUAUAUAAAAUACAUCUCAAUUCAAUCUUAAUUUAAUCCUAGUUGAAAUCCUAUUGAAGUUCAUUCAAACUUUAGGCCAAAAACUAACUAAAACUUAAAUCCUAAAUAAACUCAAAUAAAACCCUAAAUUCUAAAUCAAAUCUUGACCAAAUCUUAAAUUCUAAAUCAAUUCCUAACCAAAUCUUAAUCCUAAAUCAAACCCUAACUAAAUCUUAAAUCUUAAAUCAAAUCUUAAAUUCUAAACCAAAUCCUAAUCCUAAAUCAAAUUCUAACCAAAUCCUAACCCAAAAUCAAAUCCUAACCUUAUAUCAAAUCCUAACCAAAUCCUAAAUCCUACACCGAACCCUAACCAAAUCUUAAAUCCUAAACCACACCCUAAAUCCUAAACCAAAUCCUAACCAAAUCCUAAUCCUAGAUUAAAUUCUAACCAAACCUUAAAUCCUAAAUCAAAUCCUAAU